CUGUCUUUCGGCUUUGGUUACACAAAUGGGAAUUUAAAGCCCUCGCAUAAAUCCUACUGAAGUGAGGGGCUGAGGGAGUGCCACUGAAUUCAGCGGGAUCAUUUUGAAGACUGAGCAUAAGUGAUUCUUAGUGGACUGGGACAGAGAAGCAUGCUAUGGACAACAUGGUCAUCUUUUCCCUCUAAGGCUCUUUCUUCAAGCCCUGAUAAAAUUUGAACUAUAAAAGAAGACAUUGUGCUUUGCCUGGGAACAGUGUUAAUUUAAUGCACGCAGCUGACCUCGGAGGCACUGAAAUGACACGGCAGCAGCAGUCCAGAGUGCUGCAGUAUAUCCUGCUGUUAGCAGAACUGUUGGGGAGACUGUGUACUUUUCUGGACAGUUGUCUGCGAACUCUUUUGGGAAAAGGCAGGGAGCUGGCUCUUUGACCACACUGUACCAUCAUCUUUUUUUCAACAUCAAUCCAUUGCGAAUCAUGCACACACAGCAAAGAGAGAGCAGAACCUACCACAGCCUGUGAGCAGCAAGAAAUUGCAGCUGGAUGACUGCAUAAGGGGUUUGUAAUACCACUGGUAAUUUUUUCUAUUCAGAGUUAAAUAGAGCAAUAAGAUGGGAUUUAAGCUUUAGUGCAAUGGAUUGAGGCUCUUCAGUCAAUCAAAUUACAGUUCAAUCAGUUCAUUUAAAUAAUUUCUCUGGAGAGAAGUAAACCCCUAUGCUGAAGAAUAUGCAGCAAUUUUAUUGAUGGAAAGUUUAAUUGUUUCAUUUUUCCUUACCGUCUGUAACACACUAGACUUUUAAUCAGUGGGAACUGAAGUUAUAAUGAAGUAAAGUCCACUUUCCACAGUUCACAACUAGCUGAAAAUAAUUGGGUUGAGACUCCCAUCCAGACAGUGUAAUGCCUUUGGCAUUUUCCUGAAAACUACACUUAAUUGCUUUGCUGAUGUUGUUAAGUGGUCCUGAGGGGGAUGAAGUAGUAAA